UACGUAGGGUGCGAGCGUUAAUCGGAAUUACUGGGCGUAAAGCGUGCGCAGGCGGUUUUGUAAGCCAGAUGUGAAAGCCCCGGGCUUAACCUGGGAAUGGCAUUUGGGACUGCAAGGCUGGAGUGCGGCAGAGGGGGAUGGAAUUCCGCGUGUAGCAGUGAAAUGCGUAGAUAUGCGGAGGAACACCGAUGGCGAAGGCAAUCCCCUGGGCCUGCACUGACGCUCAUGCACGAAAGCGUGGGGAGCAAACAGG
rnacentral:rRNA from 1 species